UCAGUUACAGGUCGAAUGGGGUUGGAAUUUCUGGCGAGUUGGCAGGUAUAUGUCAGGCUGGUUAUCACUGUGUAUGAUCCACUGAUCUUUGGAGCUGGGACCCAAGUGACUGUGGAACCAAAGGAGAAAGAUGCCACGGGGCCGAAACUGUCGGUCUUCUACCCGCCAGUCGCGUCCGAACAGGGUCUUGUACCUGCGGCAGUCUGUCUGGCCGAUGACUUCUUCCCCAAGACCAUCCAGCUGUCGCUGAAGGUGGAAGGGCACAACCAAACCACCGUGGCCAGACCCGCCAUCGUGACAGACGAUGGCUACUACAGGACGUCCAACUUCCAGCCCGUUCCCAGUGGUCAGAGCAACGUCAUCAUCUGCGAGGCAAAGCACGAGGGCAGUCACUUCUUCGUCAACGUCACCACAGAGAAUGAGGGCGGUAAGUGGCAGGGGAGGGGUUUGGAGACAUCGCCCCCAGCUCCACACACUCCCCAUGUUACCCACUCCACCUCCAGCUCUCCCCCUUCCCUUAUUCCCCAUCCCAUUGCCUCCCCAUCCCCUCACCCUUGUUCCCCAUCCCUUCACCCUCCAUGCCCUCCCCUUGUUCCCCCAUCCACUCCAUUCCCUUCACCCCCCUCCCCUUAUAAGCAGCGGGGGAACUUUCUUUCUCUGACGGUGAUGGGCCUGAGGUUUCUCCUCUUCAAGAGCGUCGCUAUCAAUCUGCUGAUGACUGCCCGGGCUUGGCUUCCCUAA